GGGAGAGAGUAGAGUGGCGCACGGGUGAGUAACACGUAGGUAAUUUGCCUUCGGGUGGGGAAUAACAGCCGGAAACGGCUGCUAAUACCGCAUAAUGCAGCGGCUCGACAUCGAGACAGUUGUUAAAGCGGGGGAUUCGCAAGAACCUCGCGCCUGAAGAGAAGCCUGCGGCAGAUUAGCUAGUUGGUAGGGUAAUGGCCUACCAAGGCGACGAUCUGUAACCGGCCUGAGAGGGCGGUCGGUCACACUGACACUGACAUACGGGUCAGACUCCUACGGGAGGCAGCAGUCGGGAAUUUUGGGCAAUGGGCGAAAGCCUGACCCAGCAACGCCGCGUGAAGGAUGAAAUCCCUCGGGAUGUAAACUUCGCAAGAAUGGGAAGAAUAAGUAGAAGAUAAUACCUUCUAUGAUGACGGUACCAUUUGUAAGCUCCGGCUAACUCCGUGCCAGCAGCCGCGGUAAUACGGGGGGAGCAAGCGUUGUUCGGAUUUACUGGGCGUAAAGGGCGCGUAGGCGGUCACUACAAGUCAGUUGUGAAAUCUCUGGGCUUAACUCAGAACGGUCAACUGAUACUGUCGGACUAGAGUGCAGAAGGGGCAACUGGAAUUCUCGGUGUAGCGGUGAAAUGCGUAGAUAUCGAGAGGAACACCUGCGGCGAAGGCGGGUUGCUGGGCUGACACUGACGCUGAGGCGCGAAAGCUAGGGGAGCGAACGGGAUUAGAUACCCCGGUAGUCCUAGCCUUAAACGAUGAAUGCUUGUGUCUCGGGUUAUAUAGUCCC
rnacentral:rRNA from 1 species